rnacentral:rRNA from 1 species
UACGUAGGGUGCAAGCGUUAAUCGGAAUUACUGGGCGUAAAGCGUGCGCAGGCGGUUAUGUAAGACAGAUGUGAAAUGCCCGGGCUUAACCUGGGAACUGCAUUUGUGACUGCAUGGCUAGAGUUUGGCAGAGGGGGGUAGAAUUCCACGUGUAGCAGUGAAAUGCGUAGAUAUGUGGAGGAACACCGAUGGCGAAGGCAGCCCCCUGGGUCAAGACUGACGCUCAUGCACGAAAGCGUGGGGAGCAAACAGGAUUAGAAACCCGUGGUAGAU